rfam:Glossina austeni unplaced genomic scaffold Scaffold27, whole genome shotgun sequence.
GGCAAGGGCACUCUGUGACACUUGUUAUUAAUUUUAAAGUGUAAACAAUUUGUUACCUUGCCAGAAUAAAUCAAUUACGUAAAACCUUAACCAAUGUCGUAUUAUAGAUUGA